CUACGGGAUGCACCAGUGGGGAAUAUUGCACAAUGGGGGAAACCCUGAUGCAGCGACGCCGCGUGAAGGAUGAAGGUUUUCGGAUCGUAAACUUCUUUGAUCGGGGACGAAUAAUGACGGUACCCGAAAAACAGGCCACGGCUAACUACGUGCCAGCAGCUCGCGGUAAUACGUAGGUGGCAAGCGUUGUCCGGAUUUACUGGGUGGAAAGAGCAUGUAGGCGGGAAUACAAGUCAGAUGUGAAAUGCUGCAGCUUAACUGCAGCCCUGCAUCUGAAACUGUAUUUCUUGAGUAUUGGAGAGGAAAGCGGAAUUCCUAGUGUAGCGGUGAAAUGCGUAGAUAUUAGGAGGAACACCGGUUGCGAAGGCGGCUUUCUGGACAAUUACUGACGCUGAGAUGCGAAAGCGUGGGGAGCAAACAGGAUUAGAUACCCUUGUAGUC
rnacentral:rRNA from 1 species